GAUGAAGAACGCAGCGAAAUGCGAUAAGUAAUGUGAAUUGCAGAAUUUAGUGAAUCAUCGAAUCUUUGAACGCACAUUGCGCCCCUUGGUAUUCCGAGGGGCAUGCCUGUCCGAGCGUCAUUACAACCCUCAAGCUCAGCUUGGUGUUGGGCCCCGCCGCCCCGGCGGGCCCUAAAGUCAGUGGCGGUGCCGUCCGGCUCCGAGCGUAGUAAUUCUUCUCGCUCUGGAGGUCCGGUCGUGUGCUCGCCAGCAACCCCCAAUUUUUUUCAGGUUGACCUCGGAUCAGGUAGGGAUACCCGCUGAACUUAAGCAUAUCAAUAAGCGGAGGA
rnacentral:misc_RNA from 1 species